GGCUGGGCUGGGCUGGGGGCUUGGCGGGGAGGGGAGGACUGGAGCUGGCUCCGCACGCCCGCUUGCCUGCGGGGUUAUCAAAGCAAGGACCCGGCUUGCAGGUGGUGAGCCGGGGGGCGAGGGGGUUGCAAAGGGCCACAUCUGCCUGCACCGUUGAGCAAGGAAAGACAGCUGCUGGGGUGGGAAUAGCCUCCUCUUGCAGUGGGAUUCAUUGCAUGUCGCACCAAUACACACCUCCCCUCUCUGGCAGUGAGGGGCUGGGAAGAGCACAGAGAAGUCCUUGGAGGUCGUUUUCUUCCUUGACACAUGCCAUCAGCCUGCUGUAGACCCCAGGCGGCCGGCUUUCUGCUGGCAAAACUGGCCAGCAGAGCUUCACAACCAGAAAUGCAGCGCGAGGCCUUUCUGUGGUUAAACCAUGUCAGUGGGAAUGAGUUCUUGGAAGCAGUCUGUCACAUCACCUGUCUUCCAGCCAGGGAAAGGCGGGGGGGAACUGGCGCUGGAGCGCUUCUGUAAGUGGACUAUCUCUGUUGGUUCUUUUACCUGGAAAAAAUAACUUCCUGAUCCAGAUCCAAGAAGGACUUAGACACCUAGAAGAGGACAUAGAAGACUUUAGAUGCCUUAGAUGCCUAUGUCCAAAAUGCAAUCCAAAAGAACCCCUGCUCUUCGUAGCUGCCUAAUCUUGGAGAUAUUUAAACUCAGAGAGCAUUCUUCACUCUUACUGCUGAAUUAGGACCUCAAAACUUGUGCUAAGGAGAAGUGCGGAGUGAUGUACCAUUUGAUGAGUGUGUGCUAGUGGCUGUGGCCAUUAAAGAUCUUGAGCACGUCCACACGAGCGUGCAUGUGCAUCUUGCCCCGCCUCAAACCCCUUUGAGGCGGGGCAACAGGCACAUGCAGGAACAAAAAAAUGUUCCCUUGCUGCAAACUUGCAGCACAGGGAGAAAAUUAGA